UGAAAACAAAACAAGCACUACAAGUUUCAGUUCUGUGGUUAAAAGAAGAUGUUUGCCUUGUAGAUCAAAUUUAACAUUCAAUUGAAAAGGUACUUCAACGGGGUAUUGAAAAGCUACAGCUGUAGUCGGCUACAACAAUACAAUGACAUAGGGAAAAAUUUUAUGUUUGCCAGACCUACAAAUUAUAUGUAGGCCAAAUAGCGGCUUCAAGAAGGUCUUCAAAAUUACUAGAAUAGCCCUCCAGAAGUCACUCUAACACCUUGGAUCAGUAUAAGCUUUGAAUGACAUUUUCUUUAUUCCAGUCUCUUCCUUUGAAGGAGUAAUCAUAGUAUCUCUGGCCUUUUGACCACCUGACAUGUAACAUUAUUUUGAGGUGCAACCACACAACAUAUAGUUAUAGUGGUGUUGUAAAUCGUUAUUUGCUUUUAGAUGUUUCAGGUGCUUUUCAAAAGUUUUCCCGAUUCCAUUACUUUUUACAAGCAGAUAGCAACUUCUCCAUUUGAAGAUCUGAAAACUAAUUCUGGUACUGUUCCAAAUUCGAGCGUUAAAACUUCAAAAUUUUCCAAUAUUUUGAUUGGUUAAGCAUCACCGAUGUUAAUGUGAUGCUAUACAGAAUUUGUAUGGAGGUUGCUGUAGAUUGUGGUGGAUUGCUGAAAGUUCCUCUACUUUCAUUCAUUAUUCUUAUUAGCUUUGAGUUAUCCACAUGAUUGUGUGUAUACUUUCAUGUCUAAGCAUUUUCAAAAUCUCUACUUUGGCCACAUGGUCUCAGAGUGAUGGCAACGUUUUUAUGAACCAACUAAGAACAAAAUUACUCGUGUUGACAAAAACUGGAUAAUUGAAGAUAUAUUUCGGUAUAUUCAAAAUUGAGCAGUGAACAAAAAGUUUUAUACUUCAAAGAAGAUGAACACAAUAUUCAAUAUGAUAACAUAAAUUGUUGAAAGAGUUCGAUAAAGUACCGUCUAACAACUAGAAAAUAAUUUUUUUUGUCAACGAGUUUCGUCAUUUUGACCUUAUUUUGGCUGACAAAUGAUUGAAUAAUUUACUACCAAUACAAUAAAAUGAAUUGAAAAUUGAAUACUUUCAGAAGAGAUCAGUUUUUCAUAAAAGCUUUUUGGCUUCAUUCUGGUUCUUCAUCGUCAAACAAAAGUGUAGCAUUUUAUUCCAUAACAAAUGUUACGUAGCGCAAACUGAAUAGAGAAAGGUGAUUUUCGUGUCAUUCAAUGUUUGUAUGAAAGUACUUGUUUCAAAAGCAUUUUUUCUUUCGUGUAAUUCAAUGCUCAAGUGAAAGUAGGUGUUUUAGGAACGUUUUUUCUUCCAGUAUGCACUACAUACUGUUUGGCUAUGGAGAAGUGAAAAGUUAAUGUUUUUUU